rnacentral:rRNA from 1 species
UUGGUGGGGUAAUGGCCCACCAAGGCGACGACGGGUAGCCGGCCUGAGAGGGCGACCGGCCACACUGGGACUGAGACACGGCCCAGACUCCUACGGGAGGCAGCAGUGGGGAAUAUUGCGCAAUGGGCGGAAGCCUGACGCAGCGACGCCGCGUGAGGGAUGAAGGCCUUCGGGUCGUAAACCUCUUUCAGCAGGGAAGAAGCGAAAGUGACGGUACCUGCAGAAGAAGCACCGGCUAACUACGUGCCAGCAGCCGCGGUAAUACGUAGGGUGCAAGCGUUGUCCGGAAUUAUUGGGCGUAAAGAGCUCGUAGGCGGUCUGUCGCGUCUGCUGUGAAAACUCAGGGCUUAACCCUGAGCUUGCAGUGGGUACGGGCAGACUAGAGUGCGGUAGGGGAGACUGGAAUUCCUGGUGUAGCGGUGAAAUGCGCAGAUAUCAGGAGGAACACCGGUGGCGAAGGCGGGUCUCUGGGCCGUAACUGACGCUGAGGAGCGAAAGCAUGGGGAGCGAACAGGAUUAGAUACCCUGGUAGUCCAUGCCGUAAACGUUGGGCGCUAGGUGUGGGGACCUUUCCAUGGUUUCCGUGCCGCAGCUAACGCAUUAAGCGCCCCGCCUGGGGAGUACGG